UACGUAGGGUGCGAGCGUUGUCCGGAAUUAUUGGGCGUAAAGAGCUCGUAGGCGGCGUGUCACGUCGGAUGUGAAAACUCGAGGCUCAACCUCGGGCUUGCAGUGGAUACGGGCAGACUAGAGUGCGGUAGGGGAGACUGGAAUUCCUGGUGUAGCGGUGGAAUGCGCAGAUAUCAGGAGGAACACCGAUGGCGAAGGCAGGUCUCUGGGCCGCAACUGACGCUGAGGAGCGAAAGCAUGGGGAGCGAACAGG
rnacentral:rRNA from 1 species